rnacentral:rRNA from 1 species
CGACUUGGAGGUUGUGCCCUUGAGGCGUGGUUUCCGGAGCUAACGCGUUAAGUCGACCGCCUGGGGAGUACGGCCGCAAGGUUAAAACUCAAAUGAAUUGACGGGGGCCCGCACAAGCGGUGGAGCAUGUGGUUUAAUUCGAUGCAACGCGAAGAACCUUACCUGGUCUUGACAUCCACGGAAUUUGGCAGAGAUGCCUUAGUGCCUUCGGGAACCGUGAGACGGGUGCUGCAUGGCUGUCGUCAGCUCGUGUUGUGAAAUGUUGGGUUAAGUCCCGCAACGAGCGCAACCCUUAUCCUUUGUUGCCAGCGGUCCGGCCGGGAACUCAAAGGAGACUGCCAGUGAUAAACUGGAGGAAGGUGGGGAUGACGUCAAGUCAUCAUGGCCCUUACGACCAGGGCUACACACGUGCUACAAUGGCAUAUACAAAGAGAAGCGACCUCGCGAGAGCAAGCGGACCUCAUAAAGUAUGUCGUAGUCCGGAUUGGAGUCUGCAACUCGACUCCAUGAAGUCGGAAUCGCUAGUAAUCGUGGAUCAGAAUGCCACGGUGAAUACGUUCCCGGGCCUUGUACACACCGCCCGUCACACCAUGGGAGUGGGUUGCAAAAGAAGUAGGUAGCUUAACCUUCGGGAGGGCGCUUACCACUUUGUGAUUCAUGACUGGGGUGAAGUCGUAACAAGGUACC